rnacentral:rRNA from 1 species
GGGGAAUUUUCCGCAAUGGGCGAAAGCCUUCGACGGAGCAAUACCGCGUGAGGGAAGAAGGUCUUUGGAUCGUAAACCUCUUUUCUCAGGGAAGAAGUUCUGACGGUACCUGAGGAAUAAGCCUCGGCUAACUCCGUGCCAGCAGCCGCGGGUAAUACGGAGGAGGCAAGCGUUAUCCGGAAUUAUUGGGCGUAAAGCGUUCGCAGGUGGCUCGUCAAGUCUGCUGUCAAAGACCGGAGCUUAACUCCGGGUAGGCGGUGGAAACUGAAGAAUUUGCUAGAGUGCGGUAGGGGUAGAGGGAAUUCCCAGUGUAGCGGUGAAAUGCGUAGAGAUUGGGAAGAACACCGGUGGCGAAAGCGCUCUACUAGGCCGCAACUGACACUCAGGGACGAAAGCUAGGGGAGCGAAUGGGAUUAGAUACCCCAGUAGUC